AUGUUGUUUCCUUCUUCUUGUCUACAUGAUACACAUAUUGGAGAGAGGACCGACAUUGGAGAUGGACCUCUUGACCUUCAUGUUGAGGAGUGCCACAACAUCGAGCUUUGGUACAACACCACACAUAACAAAUUUGCAUCUUAUACAUGGAUUGCCUCACAUUAUGAUUGCCUUGUUGCAUCUUGUAUUACCAUGUCAUCCAUGAUAUAUGAUCUUGUGCACUUUCUUAGCAAAUUUGUUGUGAUCUUUCUUCAUGACAUAUUCUUACAUCAUGAUCAUAUUGCCUACCAUCAAUUGCAUGAUAACUUAAUCAUAUUGAGCAUCCAUUGCCAUAUUCAUGCAAUUGAUAAAUCGUCUCACUAUGACAUCAUUUUGCACCGUGGUUGCAUUGAUCAUAUUCACAACACAUUUCUGUGCACAAUGAAUGCUUUUGCUCCCAUGAACACUUUGCGUAUCAUUCUAUAUCAUCUUGAUAAGCUUCAUGAGCUUUGUCACGAACAAUCUUGCCGCACAGACUCGUUCUUACAUGAUGGACACUUUGUGUUUGCUAAGUAUUGUGUUUUCGAGUGUCGUUUGUGUUUGCUCUUUUUGCAUGUAUACCACUCCGGCGACACCUUGGAGUACUUGGAUUGUGCAAUGUCUUCAACUCCGUCCAACUACAAGUCCGUCCACAACAACUGUUUCCAUGGUGAUUAG
rnacentral:rRNA from 1 species